UACGUAGGGUGCAAGCGUUGUCCGGAAUUAUUGGGCGUAAAGAGCGUGUAGGCGGCCAGACAGGUCCGUUGUGAAAACUCGAGGCUCAACCUCGAGAUGUCGAUGGAAACCGUCUGGCUAGAGUCCGGAAGAGGAGUGUGGAAUUCCUGGUGUAGCGGUGAAAUGCGCAGAUAUCAGGAGGAACACCGGUGGCGAAGGCGGGUCUCUGGGCCGAUACUGACGCUGAGGAGCGAAAGCGUGGGGAGCGAACAGG
rnacentral:rRNA from 1 species